rnacentral:piRNA from 1 species
CGAAAUGCUGACUGUAGAGAUCCC